rnacentral:rRNA from 1 species
GACGAACGCUGGCGGCGUGCUUAACACAUGCAAGUCGAACGGAAAGGCCCCUUUGGGGGUACUCGAGUGGCGAACGGGUGAGUAACACGUGAGUAACCUGCCCUUGACUUCGGGAUAACUUCAGGAAACUGGGGCUAAUACCGGAUAGGAAUCCUUGCUGCAUGGUGGGGGUUGGAAAGCUUCGGCGGUUUUGGAUGGACUCGCGGCUUAUCAGCUUGUUGGUGGGGUAGUGGCUUACCAAGGCUUUGACGGGUAGCCGGCCUGAGAGGGCGACCGGCCACAUUGGGACUGAGAUACGGCCCAGACUCCUACGGGAGGCAGCAGUGGGGAAUAUUGGACAAUGGGCGGAAGCCUGAUGCAGCAACGCCGCGUGCGGGAUGACGGCCUUCGGGUUGUAAACCGCUUUCAGCAGGGGCGAAGCUUGUGGUGACGGUACCUGCAGAAGAAGCACCGGCUAACUACGUG